AUGAAUGUGACCUGGAGCAAGAAUGGGCAGACCAUAAACUUCCCACCUGCCCAGACCUCUGAGGGCAGGUACACCAUGAGCAGCCAGUUGACCCUGCCAGCUGAACAGUGUCCAGAUAAAGAAUCUGUGACAUGCUCUGUGGAACAUGCCUCUAGCCCUGCCAAAGAUGUGGAAGUGCCCUGCAUAAAAGAACCACCUCCUCCUCCUGCCCCCUGCCAACCCCGCCUGACCCUGCAACGGCCAGCUCUUGAGGACCUGCUCCUGGGUUCAGAUGCCAGUCUCACAUGUACACUGAGUGGCCUGAGAAAGCCCGAGGGAGCCACUUUCACUUGGAAGCCCACCACUGGGAAGGACGCAGUGACAAAGGAACCUGUAAUGGACUCCUGCGGCUGCUAUAGUGUGUCUAGCGUCCUGCCUGGCUGUGCCGAGCGCUGGAACAAUGGGGAGACCUUCACAUGCACAGUUACCCACCCUGAGUCUGAGACCCAAACUGCCACAAUUACCAAAGUCACAGAGAACACCUUCCCACCCCAGGUCCACCUGCUGCCGCCGCCGUCGGAGGAGCUGGCCCUGAAUGAGCUGGUGUCCCUGACAUGCCUGGUGCGAGGAUUCUACCCUAGAGAUGUGCUGGUGCGCUGGCUGCAUGGAAACCAGGAGCUGCCUCGUAAUAACUACCUAGUGUGGGAAUCCCAGAAGGAGCCAGACGAGGGUGCCACCACCUACGCGAUGACAAGUGUGCUGCGAGUGUCAGCCGAAGCCUGGAAACAGGGUGACAAUUACUCCUGCAUGGUUGGCCAUGAGGCUUUGCCCCUGGGCUUCACCCAGAAGACCAUCGACCGUCUCUCGGGUAAACCCACCCAAGUCAACGUGUCUGUGAUCAUGUCAGAGGGAGAUGGCGUCUGCUACUGA